UACGUAGGGUGCAAGCGUUGUCCGGAAUCAUUGGGCGUAAAGAGCUUGUAGGCGGUUUGUCGCGUCUGCUGUGAAAUUUCGGGGCUCAACCCCGAACUUGCAGUGGGUACGGGCAGACUAGAGUGUGGUAGGGGAGACUGGAAUUCCUGGUGUAGCGGUGAAAUGCGCAGAUAUCAGGAGGAACACCGAUGGCGAAGGCAGGUCUCUGGGCCGCUACUGACGCUGAGAAGCGAAAGCAUGGGGAGCGAACAGG
rnacentral:rRNA from 1 species